UUUUAUUUGAGAGUUUGAUCCUGGCUCAGGAUGAACGCUGGCGGCGUGCCUAACACAUGCAAGUUGAGCGAUUUACUUCGGUAAAGAGCGGCGGACGGGUGAGUAACGCGUGGGUAACCUACCCUGUACACACGGAUAACAUACUGAAAGGUAUGCUAAUACGGGAUAAUAUAUUUGAGAGGCAUCUCUUGAAUAUCAAAGGUGAGCCAGUACAGGAUGGACCCGCGUCUGAUUAGCUAGUUGGUAAGGUAACGGCUUACCAAGGCGACGAUCAGUAGCCGACCUGAGAGGGUGAUCGGCCACAUUGGAACUGCGACACGGUCCAAACUCCUACGGGAGGCAGCAGUGGGGAAUAUUGCACAAUGGGCGAAAGCCUGAUGCAGCAACGCCGCGUGAGUGAUGAAGGCCUUCGGGUCGUAAAACUCUGUCCUCAAGGA
rnacentral:rRNA from 1 species